rnacentral:misc_RNA from 1 species
AAACCUUCAAGCUCUGCUUGGUGUUGGGCCUGUCACGCCUCCCUCCGCGGGGGUGUGCGCCUCAAAUGUAUUGGCGGCCGGUACGUUGGCUUCGAGCGCAGCAGAAACGCGAACUCGAGGACUCCGGAUCGGCCCUCCACAAGCUAUUUAACA